rnacentral:rRNA from 1 species
UACGUAGGGUGCAAGCGUUAAUCGGAAUUACUGGGCGUAAAGCGUGCGCAGGCGGUUUUGUAAGUCUGUCGUGAAAUCCCCGGGCUUAACCUGGGAACUGCAUUUGUGACUGCAUGGCUCGAGUACGGUAGAGGGGAUGGAAUUCCGCGUGUAGCAGUGAAAUGCGUAGAUAUGCGGAGGAACACCGAUGGCGAAGGCAGUCCCUGGACCUGUACUGACGCUCAUGCACGAAGCGUGGGAGCAAC